rnacentral:rRNA from 1 species
UACGGAGGGGGCAAGCGUUGUUCGGAAUUAUUGGGCGUAAAGGGUAUGUAGGCGGCCGAGUAAGUCAAGCGUGUAAGCCCGUGGCUCAACCACGGAAUUGCGUUUGAAACUACUUGGCUUGAGUGCAGGAGAGGAAAGCGGAAUUCCCAGUGUAGCGGUGAAAUGCAUUGAUAUUGGGAAGAACAUCUGUGGCGAAGGCGGCUUUCUGGUCUGUUACUGACGCUGAAAUACGAAAGCCAGGGGAGCGAACGGG